rnacentral:rRNA from 1 species
GAUGAACGCUAGCGGCAAGGCUUAACACAUGCAAGUCGAGGGGUAGAGGAAGCUUGCUUCUCUUGAGACCGGCGCACGGGUGCGUAACGCGUAUGCAAUCUACCUUGUACAGGGGAAUAGCCCAGAGAAAUUUGGAUUAAUGCCCCAUAGUAUAUAACCUUCGCAUGUUGGUUAUAUUAAAGUUCCAACGGUACAAGAUGAGCAUGCGUCCCAUUAGUUAGUUGGUAAGGUAACGGCUUACCAAGACGAUGAUGGGUAGGGGUCCUGAGAGGGAGAUCCCCCACACUGGUACUGAGACACGGACCAGACUCCUACGGGGGGCAGCAGUGAGGAAUAUUGGUCAAUGGUCGCAAGACUGAACCAGCCAUGCCGCGUGCAGGAAGACGGUCCUAUGGAUUGUAAACUGCUUUUAUACAGGAAGAAACCCUCCCACGUGUGGGAGCUUGACGGUACUGUAGGAAUAAGGAUCGGCUAACUCCGUG